UACGGGGGGAGCAAGCGUUGUUCGGAUUUACUGGGCGUAAAGGGCGCGUAGGCGGCGUGACAAGUCACUUGUGAAAUCUCCGGGCUUAACUCGGAACGGUCAAGUGAAACUGUCAUGCUAGAGUGCAGAAAGGGCAAUCGGAAUUCUUGGUGUAGCGGUGAAAUGCGUAGAUAUCAAGAGGAACACCUGAGGCGAAGGCGGGUUGCUAGGCUGACACUGACGCUGAGGCGCGAAAGCCAGGGGAGCAAACGGG
rnacentral:rRNA from 1 species